rnacentral:rRNA from 1 species
AUGGCGAUCCCUGUGGCUCCAAUGGCGCUCCCAGCGGCCGACAACGACAACGGCGGGCAGUUCACCACACAUCACAUAGUGGACACCCACUUGAGGGGGAAGGCCCUCUUGGUGGUGUACACGAACGAUCCGGCCUCGGUGGAGAGGUCCAUCCAAACUAUGGAGCAGUUCCUUGCUAAGGACACGUACCAAGUGGUCGGCUUCGACCUCGAGUACACCGUCGGCCCGGCACGAGGCCCAACGGGCUUUUACGCAUUCGGGCCGGACUUGGGCCCAAAAAUCAGGCCCGAUGGCUGGGCCGGGCUCGGGCCUAAGUUUUUUGCCUCGGGGUUGGCUAGGCCCGGCCCGAAGCCCGGCCCGGCCCGAGGUUUGGCCAAGUAUAGCUACCAGGAAUCUACAGCUACCGGACGACCGAAGCGCAGCCCCCGACCAAACCCUACUCCGCCCCCGCAUCCGCCCGCUGGCGCCCUCCUCCGCCUCGUCGAUGCGCCGGCGAUGGCGGGCCCGGACCCCGCCGCCGUGCGGGCCGAGUGUGACCAGGCCCUCGCCUGCCUCCAGCGGGGCAACCAACCCAAGGCGCUGCGCCUCAUGAAGGAGGCCCUCGCCCGCCACGGCGAGGGGUCGCCGCUUCUCCUCCGCGCCCACGGCACCGUCCACUCCCGCAUCACCGCCGUCCUCACCGACCCCGCCGCGUGUCGCGUCGUCGACCUCGCGCCCGACUCCCUCGAGCUCGCCCACUUCCACACCCUCCUCCUCUACAAGGCCGCCAGCGACAACCACACCUACGAGGAGGUCCUCGCCUACUCCGGGUCGAGCUCCGCAACCUCGUCCAGAAGGCCAAUCUCGCAUCCAUAUCCACCUGGGUCAAGAACCUCGCGUCCGGAUCCGGCCGCCGGACGUCCGACCACUCCGGAUCCAGCCUCCUCCUCGCCGCACGGGCCUCCUCCUCGCCGGAGUGACGCCCCUCGCCGGGGCAGCGCCGUCCAAGCCCAUCGGCCACCAGAUUCCCCGGCUCCAGUAAGGCGAUUUGGGCCUCCGGGCAUGGAGGGUCGCGGGUUGCUCAAGGCGGCUCUACUGGCGUGCUUGCUCGUCGUUUGCUUUGGGAGAGGAUAA